AUGGCAGCCUCCCUGCCGUCCCUCUCGCCCGCGCCGACGCCGUCGCCGGCGGCCACCACCUUGGCCAGCAACCUCCUCUCCUUCCCCGCCCCGCGGCCGCGCCUCGCCGCCACGCACCGCCGCGCGGUCGUGGCCGCGGCCUCGUCCAGGCCCCCUCCCCCUCCGCCGCCGUCCCCGGAGGGAGGGGACGAGGAGGUGGAGAGGGCCAUGGGGAUGGACGGUGGCAUCCCCGGGACCUCCGGAGAGCUGCUGCGCCGCGUCUCCUCCCGCGCCUACGGCAUGCGCCGCCACCUCAUGGAGUCGCUCGACUCCCUCGCCUACGACGUGUUGGAGACAAACCCAUGGAGAGAACAACACCCAAAACCAGUCUAUGUGCUGGCUAGAAGAGACAAUCAACUAUGGACAAUGAAAACCCGUAGGAACCGCAGUGAAGUCGAAAGGGAACUUGGAAUGCUUUUCUCAAGGGGAGGAGGUUCAGGGGUUGGGACUAAAUCAAAGUACUCUGGCUCCAAGUUUAGUAUGGUUGUUGAAGAUCUCACAGAGGGAGUACUGGUGUUUGAAGACGAGGACGAUGCUGCAAAGUACUGUGACCUUCUACAGGGCGGUGGUCAAGGAUGCGAGGGAAUUGCAGAGCUAGAGGCUUCAUCAGUUUUCAACAUGUGCCGUCAAAUGAAAGCUCUUGCUGUCCUUUUCCGGCGUGGAAGGAUUCCUCCAACGCCUCAAAGCCUUGAGCGUGACUUGAGGGCAAGAAACCGGUCACUGGAAGACUAG
rnacentral:rRNA from 1 species